rnacentral:rRNA from 1 species
CCCCUAGAUGUUCUGGGCCGCACGCGCGCUACACUGAACAGUUCAACAAGUCUUAACCUUGGCCGAUAGGUCUGGGUAAUCUUUGAACGCUGUUCGUGAUUGGGAUAGACCUUUGCAAUUAUGGGUCUUCAACGAGGAAUUCCUAGUAAACGCAAGUCAUCAGCUUGCAUUGAUUACGUCCCUGCCCUUUGUACACACCGCCCGUCGCACCUACCGAUUGAAUGGUCCGGUGAAAUCUCGGGACGUCGGCUUGGUCGCUUGCGUCCGACUGCUGAAACUUGAUUAAACCAUAUCAUUUAGAGGAAGGUGAAGUCGUAACA